AGAACGAACGCUGGCGGCAUGCCUAACACAUGCAAGUCGAACGCUUCCGGGGCUUCGGUCGCGGAGGAGUGGCGCACGGGUGAGUAGCGCGUGGGAACCUGCCCUGUUGUGGGGGAUAACCGAGGGAAACUUCGGCUAAUACCGCAUACGCCCCGGGACUUGGUCUUCGGAUUAGGUCUGGGGGGAAAGAUUGAUCGCAGCAGGAGGGGCCCGCGUCGGAUUAGCUGGUUGGUGGGGUAACGGCUCACCAAGGCGAUGAUCCGUAGCUGGUCUGAGAGGAUGAUCAGCCACACUGGGACUGAGACACGGCCCAGACUCCUACGGGAGGCAGCAGUGGGGAAUAUUGGACAAUGGGGGCAACCCUGAUCCAGCAAUGCCGCGUGAGUGAUGAAGGCCUUAGGGUUGUAAAGCUCUUUCGCCCGCGACGAUGAUGACGGUAGCGGGAGAAGGAACGCCCGGCUAACGUACGCGCCAGCAGCCGCGGU
rnacentral:rRNA from 1 species